CCCCUAGAUGUUCUGGGCCGCACGCGCGCUACACUGAACAGUUCAACAAGUCUUAACCUUGGCCGAUAGGCCUGGGUAAUCUUUGAACGCUGUUCGUGAUUGGGAUAGACCUUUGCAAUUAUGGGUCUUCAACGAGGAAUUCCUAGUAAACGCAAGUCAUCAGCUUGCAUUGAUUACGUCCCUGCCCUUUGUACACACCGCCCGUCGCACCUACCGAUUGAAUGGUCCGGUGAAAUCUCGGGACGGCGGCUUGGUCGCUUGCGUCCGACUGCUGAAACUUGAUUAAACCAUAUCAUUUAGAGGAAGGUGAANUCGUAACA
rnacentral:rRNA from 1 species